CUGAAAGCUUGCAGAGCCCAAACGCUGCGAGGAGGUCGCACCAGCAAGUGAGGAAGCAGAAGGGAUGGCUUCCUGCGCCUCCCACACAAUUUUCAACUUUUCAGGAAGUACCAUAGGAGAAGUCAAGGCUUGGAAAUUGUGGUGAAAGAAGCUACGAAUGAGAUAAAUGUGUGUUCUUUCCACCCCUAAAAACAGUGUCACCACCACUCAUCCUUGAAACCAUCAGCAGCAGGGAAACCUGUGAGCGACGUUCACGUCUAGUGUCCAGUGCCUUGCGUGGUCCCAAUCACAAACCCCUAGCUCAGGGGCAGCGGGGCCAUGAACUAGGGAGGCCGCCGUAAUGACAGCCUGGCAGGAACCCUAUGUCCAAACCAGAGGAGCCCCCUCAGAGCAACCUCCACAGGCAGUGCUGCUGUCAAGGAAAUGCCAGAGCCGGGUGGUAGUUAACAUGGUCUCUGAGCCCAAGCUAAGCCAUCAUAACCCCUGUGACCUGCACGUAUACAUCCAGAUGGCCUGAAACAACUAAAGAACCACAAAAGAAGUGAAAUAGCCAGUUCCUGCCUUAACUGAUGACAUUCCACCAUUAUGAUUUGUUCCUGUCCCACUCUAACUGAUCAAUUGACCUUGUGACAUUCCUUCUCCUGGACAGUGAGUCUCAGGGGCUCCCCACCAAGCACCUUGUGACCCCUGCCCCUGCCUGCAAGAGAAAAUCCCCUUUAACUGCAAUUUUCCACUACCUACCCAAAUCCUAUAAACCUGCCCCACCCCUAUCUCCCUUUGCUGACUCUCUUUUUGGACUCAGCCCACUUGCACCCAAGUGAAAAUAAACAGCCUUGUUGCUCACACA
rnacentral:lncRNA from 10 species